UUUUCUCUCUGGCAGAAGAGAUACCAGAAACAUGAAGGUGGUUUUUCCAGAAUGAGGCCUAUCCAUUGCACUCCAGAUGCAUAGACCCCUGUGAUUUCUCUAAAUAUGGGAAACUUGACUGCAUAAUUUGCAGUAUUAGAGGUCUGCAUUAAUGCUCUCCCCUA